GGUCGGUUGACCGAGUGGCGAGGUAGCGGUCUGCAAAACCGUUUACGGCGGUUCGACUCCGCCACCGACCU
rnacentral:tRNA from 1 species